CAGUCGCCGCGGUAAUACGUAGGUGGCGAGCGUUGUCCGGAAUCAUUGGGCGUAAAGGGAGCGCAGGCGGGCAUGUAAGUCUUUCUUAAAAGUUCGGGGCUCAACCCCGUGAUGGGAAAGAAACUACAUGUCUUGAGUACAGGAGAGGAAAGCGGAAUUCCCAGUGUAGCGGUGAAAUGCGUAGAUAUUGGGAGGAACACCAGUGGCGAAGGCGGCUCUCUGGACUGCAACUGACGCUGAGGCUCGAAAGCCAGGGGAGCGAACGGGAUUAGAUACCCCAGUAGUCCCUGUCUCUUAUACA
rnacentral:rRNA from 1 species